GAUGAACGCUGGCGGCGUGCCUAAUACAUGCAAGUCGAGCGAACGGACGAGAAGCUUGCUUCUCUGAUGUUAGCGGCGGACGGGUGAGUAACACGUGGAUAACCUACCUAUAAGACUGGGAUAACUUCGGGAAACCGGAGCUAACACCGGAUAAUAUUUUGAACCGCAUGGUUCAAAAGUGAAAGACGGUCUUGCUGUCACUUAUAGAUGGAUCCGCGCUGCAUUAGCUAGUUGGUAAGGUAACGGCUUACCAAGGCAACGAUGCAUAGCCGACCUGAGAGGGUGAUCGGCCACACUGGAAAUGAGACACGGUCCAGACUCCUACGGGAGGCAGAAGUAGGGAAUCUUCCGAAAUGGGCGAAAGCCUGACGGAGAAACGCCGCGUGAGUGAUGAAGGUCUUCGGAUCGUAAAACUCUGUUAUUAGGGAAGAACAUAUGUGUAAGUAACUGUGCACAUCUUGACGGUACCUAAUCAGAAAGCCACGGCUAACUACGUG
rnacentral:rRNA from 1 species